AUUGAACGCUGGCGGCAGGCCUAACACAUGCAAGUCGAACGGUAACAGGAAGCAGCUCGCUGCUUCGCUGACGAGUGGCGGACGGGUGAGUAAUGUCUGGGAAGCUGCCUGAUGGAGGGGGAUAACUACUGGAAACGGUAGCUAAUACCGCAUAAUGUCGCAAGACCAAAGAGGGGGACCUUCGGGCCUCUUGCCAUCGGAUGUGCCCAGAUGGGAUUAGCUUGUUGGUGGGGUAACGGCUCACCAAGGCGACGAUCCCUAGCUGGUCUGAGAGGAUGACCAGCCACACUGGAACUGAGACACGGUCCAGACUCCUACGGGAGGCAGCAGUGGGGAAUAUUGCACAAUGGGCGCAAGCCUGAUGCAGCCAUGCCGCGUGUAUGAAGAAGGCCUUCGGGUUGUAAAGUACUUUCAGCGGGGAGGAAGGGAGUAAAGUUAAUACCUUUGCUCAUUGACGUUACCCGCAGAAGAAGCACCGGCUAACUCCGUG
rnacentral:rRNA from 1 species